GAUGUCGAAUAUCGACGUCAUAAACACCAAAGUUGUUCGUGUUUAUGACGUCGAAUAUCGACGUCAUAAACACCAAAGUUGAUCAUGUUUAUGACGUCGAAUAUCGACGUCAUAAACACCAAACUUGUUCGUGUUUAUGACGUCGAAUAUCGACGUCAUAAACACCAAAGUUGAUCGUGUUUAUGACGUCGAAUAUCGACGUCAUAAACACCAAAUUUGUUCGUGUUUAUGACGUCGAAUAUCGACGUC